rnacentral:rRNA from 1 species
CGGGACGGGUGAGUAAUGUCUAGGGAAACUGCCUGAUGGGAGGGGGAUACUACUGGAAACGGUAGCUAAUACCGCAUAACGUCGCAAGACCAAAGAGGGGGACCUUCGGGCCUCUUGCCAUCGGAUGUGCCCAGAUGGGAUUAGCUAGUAGGUGGGGUAACGGCUCACCUAGGCGACGAUCCCUAGCUGGUCUGAGAGGAUGACCAGCCACACUGGAACUGAGACACGGUCCAG